rnacentral:rRNA from 1 species
GGGUCAGUAGGUUGGUCGUGCCACCGGUACGUACUGGUCUCACUGAUUCCUCCUUCCUGAAGAACCGUAGUGCCAUUAAUUUGGUGUUGCGGGGAAACAGGACUGUUACUUUGAAAAAAUUAGAGUGUUUAAAGCAAGCUAACGCUCGAAUACAUUAGCAUGGAAUAAUGAAAUAGGACGAUCGAUCCUAUUUUGUUGGUUUCUAGGAUUGACGUA